GACGAACCGUGCGAACGUUGUUCGGAAUCACUGGGCUUAAAGGGCGCGUAGGCGGGUGUGCAAGUCUGCGGUGAAAGCCCCCAGCUUAACUGGGGAAGUGCCGUGGAUACUGCGAGUCUGGAGGAGGGUAGGGGCAUCUGGAACGCUGGGUGGAGCGGUGAAAUGCGUUGAUAUCCAGCGGAACUCCGGUGGCGAAGGCGAGGUGCUGGACCCUUUCUGACGCUGAGGCGCGAAAGCCAGGGGAGCAAACGGG
rnacentral:rRNA from 1 species